CCCUUAGAUGUUCUGGGCCGCACACGCGCUACAAUGGCAAAGUCAACGAGCUAAUCCUAUGCUGACAAGCACAGGUAAUCUUUUCAGUCUUUGUCGUGAUGGGGAUAGACCCUUGUAAUUAUUGGUCUCCAACGAGGAAUUCCUAGUAAACGCAAGUCAUCAACUUGCAUUGAUUACGUCCCUGCCCUUUGUACACACCGCCCGUCGCACCUACCGAUUGAAUGGUCCGGUGAAGUCUUCGGACCGAUGCUGAUUCGUUGGCAACGGAAAGUUGAGUAAACCUUACCAUUUAGAGGAAGGUGAANUCGUANCA
rnacentral:rRNA from 1 species